GUUUUAUUAGAGAAGUUGAUUGGACGUGGGAUGUGACAAAAGUGACACAUUCUUUACUUUUUUUUUUUUAAUUUUAUUCUUUAUUAUUUUUUAAUAUUUAAUAAUUAUUAUAUAAAUUUCACUUUCCAAUAUCUUACUACUCAUCUUCUUAUUCUAUUUUUUUUUUCAACCAGAAACUUCUCCAACCCUUCAAGGGCUUCAAUUAAAUCCUUGUUCUCUCCUUCUCUUUCCACUUGAUUUGAAGUUAGAAGAGGGAUUUGCAUUGUUUGGCUCUCUGUUUUCACAUGAGGCUAGGCGAUGAGUUAGAGCUUUAGUUAAGGUCAAUGAUUGAGUAUAUUAUAUAUUAUAUAGAUAUAUAGUUGUUUUGGAGCAUAAAUGGCUACAACCCAGUUGAGAUCUUGAAGCUAAUUUUCGAAAGUGGGAGUUGAGAAACGACAAAGAUUUUAUGAUUUUUUCCUCGUGUUUCUAUUAUUCCGGUGUUGAUUUGUCCGUCCCCAACCACGAAGGAGAGGUGCCGUUUAUGUUUUGUUAUUGUUUACAGUAUAAAAGUAAAUAUAUUGAGCCUGGGCAGUAUAAAAGAAAAAACAAUGGGCUUGGACAGUAAAAAUAUAAAGUUUGCCGUGUCUCAGUAUUUUUGAAAACAUUUGGUAAAAAAAGCAAUAUUUUGUAAGUUUCCCUAAUAAUAUUUAAGUCAAUAAUGUAUAUAACUAUGAUAGCAGACUCAUAACCUUGUCUUCUUAUGAAAACUAUAAGCAAAUAGGAUUGUUAUUAUUUUCAUUUUUUAGCAAAUAUUUGCUAACUCUAUUGUACUACAUGUAAUUGUUUUAAUCCAUUUAAUAGAGGACAUUUCCUAAUGACUUGAACUAUAAUUAGACAUCUUAAACCAUUAUCUAGUUUUUCAUGAACAGCUAGACAAACCAAAUAUUAUAAUGCACUAGAAAGAAUGUCUCUUCAUACUCAAUAUCUAAUAAUUGAACAAAUCCUUGUGCAGAGACAUUCUCACUGAAAUCGCAACAAUCCAAGCAGAUCGAUAUCAAAGUGAACCACAAGAUCUUAUCCAAUUUGCCUUCUUUGUGUCUGAGCCCUGCUAAAACAUUGAAUUUUGAUGAAAAUUUAGAUUUAAAUUGAUUGAUGUUUAGAGUAAUUGGUAAUGUGAAAGAAAGUAAUAUUUACUUGUAGAUGAGAUUUGAGGUGAGUGAAUCCACUUUCAUUUGGCUCUUAACGACUUUGGUUGAAGCAAUGUGUUUGAUUAUUUCAAACUAUGUUAAGUAAAAUUAGUUAAAAAAACAAAAAGAACAUGCCUAUAAAUAAUUAUAAUUUGAUAAAAAAGAAUGAAAGAUAGUAACAAAACGGAAUAAGGCAUUGGCAAAUUGAAAAAACUGCCAGACGCAUUUCCCAUUGCCAAUAAAACGACCGACUGUACAGUUUAUAAACAUGUUUGUAUUAACUCAAAACUCUCAAUUAUCUCAUAUUCCUUCCACCUUUGCUACCCAAUUCCUCCCAUAAACCUUUCUUUAUAGCAGAGUAACUAUACAUAUAAUCUUGUCUCACUACUUUGAAAACACUUGGUUAUUA